rnacentral:rRNA from 1 species
AUGGCCCAGCCCUGGCUGCAGUGGCAGCCGCCGCUCCUGGCGGCCUCCGCCGCGCCCGGUGCUCCGCCGCAACAGCCGCUGCAGCUGCAGCAGCCACCGCCCGUCAGCUCCGCCGCCCAGUAUGGGAUGCCCUACGACGAGACUGCAACGACCUCGUUCCCAUCAGCGCCGCCAUCCCAGGGCGUCCACAUCCAGCAGAUCAAGUCCCCGCCGUCGCCGUCACUGCUUCCGUCUUGGAUCGCUACCCGCCACGUGUCGGCGGCGGUGAGGCUGCAGGCUGCCGCGCGCGGCCUCCUAGCGUGUCGACGUGUGCGGAAGAUGCGUGGUCUGCAGCUGCCGCUCCUCCAAGUUGCCCUUCGCUGCGCAAAGGACCUCGAUCUCGUCCGUUGCGUCGGGGAUCUUGGGCAUGCGGUUUCCCCCACGGGCGGCGGGCAUGCUGUUUUCCCCGCGGGCAGCGACCUCAAAGUCUGCGACAUCGACAGUUGGGGGGACGCACCCCUCCUCGUCAUUCUCCAUCGCAAUCCCUCCACUCUUCCCUGUGCGGUGCAGACCAAUAGUCGUCCGGCAGGGAGAAGGCAUGGUGUCACCGACAGGAGCGCACCGCGUAGCACCACUGCAUUCCGCCACCGGCCGCCGCGAGGGCGCCUCUGCUGGUCACUCUUGCGACCACUUCCAGGUGGCCAUACACAUACACUCCUUUUGUCCUGGUGGUGUCCAUGGGAUCCAGGUGGCUAUACACGUGCACGUCCGACGUGCGGAUGGUGUCCACUUUUUGUUAAGGGGUCCAAAAUAAAGCGUCCCAGUCCAUUUCAGGUUGAGAAUAAUAAAACAAGCCGAGAUGUAAAAGGUUUGUUUUUUAGGUGUUAG